rnacentral:pre_miRNA from 1 species
GGCCCAAGUUUGAAUAGAGUAGAUUAGAAUGAUCAUCUGACCCUAAUAAACUACUCUACUUCGAGUUUGUGCUC